AGUGAACGCUGGCGGUAGGCCUAACACAUGCAAGUCGAACGGCAGCACAGUAAGAGCUUGCUCUUACGGGUGGCGAGUGUCGGACGGGUGAGGAAUACAUCGGAAUCUACUUUUUCGUGGGGGAUAACGUAGGGAAACUUACGCUAAUACCGCAUACGACCUACGGGUGAAAGCAGGGGAUCUUCGGACCUUGCGCGAUUGAAUGAGCCGAUGUCGGAUUAGCUAGUUGGCGGGGUAAAGGCCCACCAAGUCGACGAUCCGUAGCUGGUCUGAGAGGAUGAGCAGCCACAGUGGAACAGAGACACGGUCCAGACUCCGACGAGGCGCAGCAGUGGGGAAUAGUGGACGAUGGGCGCAAGACUGAUCCAGACAUACCGCGUGGGUGAAGAAGGCAUUCGGGUUGUAAAGCCCUUUUGUUGGGAAAGAAAAGCAGCAGGUUAAUACGCCGCUGUUCUGACGGUACCCAAAGAAUAAGCACCGGCUAACUUCGUG
rnacentral:rRNA from 1 species